GGCGGGGCGGGCAGGGGCUCUGGGGCCAGGCCGGGCCUCAUGCAGCUGCCGUUGAGCUCCUUGCUCUUGGCAUGUGGAGCGGCAUUGCCCAGGGACUGCAGGGAGCACGCUGAGCGCUGGUAGUCACCCUCCAGAUCCUUCCACCUAAGCAGAGUCUGGCCUGGAAGGAACUUGCAGAUCUUGGACUCAAGCCAGACUGAAAAGCAAGUUCAUCUGGGACCCUUCCCUCCAGGAAGAUCGCAACCCCCUAAGGUAGAAAAUUCCUGAAGAUUUUUAACUCCCAGAGCCAGUGGACCCAAUCUCCAUCCAUCUAUGUCCCAUCUGCAGGUACCAUCACCUCCAGUCUUGGCACCUAGCAACUAGCAGCCCCUGUGGAGCCUCCAAAUGGACCAUGGUUGUUUAGAUUUCCCAGGCAAGACCGGUUGGUGCUAUGACCAUUUGGCUUGGGUCUCCCCCAUUCUUUCCAUAAUAGUCUGUUUUCUUUUCUUUCUCAGAAAAAAAAGUAAAAAGAAAAAAAUAUAAAAGAGUGUGCAACCACUGGAAUUUUCUACUGAGAUGGGGGAGAUUAUUUCAGGAUGAAAAAAACUCACAAAACAAUUUGAACAGGAUUCUUCUUUGGGUUUGAAAGGGGGGCUGUUUACUGAGGUUCUAAAAGCAAAAAUAAAAUAAAAUAAAAUAAAACAAAAUUACAGUCACUAUUUUACUACAGCCUUUAAAAGUGCACCAGAAAAAUAAAGCUUAACCAUGUCAGGGGAGUUUGCAUUUGUUCCCAAAUUUCUGACUGUGUCUCUCCUUUCUCUGUGUCUCCUCCAGCCCUCCGUGGGUGGAUACUUUCCUACAGCCUCCAGAUUGGUCAUAUGCUCUUGGAAAAACUUAAAAUAUCAUUCAUCCUAGAUGGUCAACUCCAAAGAAAAUUUAGUAAAAAGAAAAGGAAAGGGAUACAGGUGGAGUGAGUCCCUCCCGCACAUAAAUGCUGCUCUUAAAGAUAGAUUCAUACUUAAAGGGAGCUGGUGUAGCCCUGAGAUCCGAUUGGUUUCCGAGAAAUUUUUGUUUCUGGAAAUACACAUGGGUCUGCUAAGCAGCAGGUCCUUCCAGGGAGGACUGGAGUCCAAUUGACCAGGCUGACCCAAUCCCUUUAUUAUUAUUACCAUUUGCCUCUGAUGAUUUAACCAAAAUUAGCUUCGGAGCAGCCCUGGCUGAAAGGAAGAAUUAAUUAAGCGGCAUCAGUCGAGUUUGUUAUUAAUAGAAAAGAGAAUGAAAUAAAAACGUUGAAGGGGGUUAGCUGGCUGGGCCCUGGCUUUAUUUAGCCUAAAUGAUUGUUACAGCAAUAAUGAUGAUGGUGGUGGUAAUAAUAAUAAUAAAUAAAAAACCUAGUAAUUUGACUAGACGCCUGGGGCUGAAAUUUCUGUUGCUCCCCCAGCAAUAAGCCCCAAACCAUUGCAGGACAGAGGCCAGGCGAGUGUGCGAAGCUAAGGAGCCAGAGACGUGAUAGGAAAGAAUGGAGACUCCGCUGGCGGUUGAGACUGGGCCAGGAGGGUUUGUGGAUUCGGAGAGCUUCCAGCUGCCGCUGCUGGCGGGCUGUCUGACCGCUGCUACCUCGGUGGCUGGGGAGAAGCUACCAGCCUCCUGCUCAGGCUCAAGGAAGCGAGAAGAAACCGAUCGGGACGCCGAACUGGUUAGCUGCGGCAGGUUCCAAGCACACCGGGCCGGGCCGGGCCAGGCCCCGCGGCGGCAAGUUUAGCGCUGGAGGCCUCACUACUGGACCAUUAUGCUAAUCUGAGAAGUAGUCUUCGGUGACUCAGUCCGAGGCUAGCCUGGCUGGGCCAGAGACGCUGGGCGCCCCUCCUGUGCUCCUUCACGGUAGACACAUCCAACCAGGACCCUGUGCUGAUUUCCUGAUUGGGGCACUCGGUUUUUCCUUCUCCCAUCUGGAUACACCAGGACGGGCGAUGGGACUGGGAAACAAAGGAUCACUUCAAAUUGGCUGGAGUGACUGACUUUCUGGGGCCUGUUAUACAGAAGAAACCUUCAGCAACAGGAGUCAUGUGCAGAACCCUAGGGACAUCUAGAAGCUCAGCCCUGGAAAACUCAACCCCUAUCCAGUGUGGAGACAAAGGUUUGGAGAAGUAGGUUAUCUGACCGGAGCCUGGGAUUUCUAAAGAUGGAGUUGUUGCCUAGCUGUCUCCACUUCCUGCCUUGGACUCCAUAUCCCAAGCCAUACUUCCCUAGACUCCCCAGAACUCUCCUCAACACUUCCACCCUCUUUAUAGCCUCAGUCCCACAAGAAAUUGCCCUUCACACAGCUGUGCAUCCACGAAGCCUCUGCUUUCAAGCUUUAUGCCUCUGAAGUUGGAAGAAGAGAAAGAAAACACCACAAAAACAAGUAGGGAGCUUCCUCUUGCUGGCCUCUGUCCUAGUCACCCUGGAAAGACAGUCAGCAUGGUUCUAUGGCCAACUAUGUGUGUCCUCUCCCAGAAACAGAAGGUCUAAACAUCCAGAGGUCAAGGGUGAAUCUAUGGGGAAGCUGCACCUGUUUCCAUAGAUUCUAAAUUAUAAACCCAUGAUUCAGUUCUUGGGCUAGGGUAAGAGGAGGAACCCCAGGACUCCAAAACACUGAAUCCUGGACAAUCGCAGCCUUGGCUUAGCAUCUAACAGGAAAAGAGUCUUGUUUGGUGGAGCUAAGGCCCAUCUUCCUUAAACCCUACACCAAUCCUAGCUCAACCCAAUUUGCUAGCCUUAUAUUCCCAUUGCUUUUGACCUAGCCUUCCCUUCCAUUGAGAACAGGGACUCCUUGAAAAGCAGUCCAGGGGACUUACUUUCAAAGGACAAGCAGAGGCAAACUCUGAAUUUUGCAAACAAAUCCUACAGUAACUUUUACAGCCAGAUGCCCACAGAAAGGGAAGUUGCCCCAAGAGCAGAAUGAGAGAGGAGUUGGGUGUCCAGUUGGGUGUCCAGAAUGAGAGAGGAGUUGGGUGUCCAGCCCAACUCUGCCAUUGCAGCAGAUAGGGAAAGUGAGGCCCAGAGUGGUAAAUAAAUUGAUCUCGAGUUAUGUUUGCCACAGUCUUGACCACAAGGAGACUCAGGCUUUAGUCAUUGCAGCUUGGCCAUGUGACUUGAGGCAGAGCAUGCCUUGGGCCCCAGUGUGCCUUUCUUUAGAUCCUCGGUAUUUGUAUGGAGGAGGAGGAUUAGACUAAAUGAGCUCCAAGGUUCCUUUUCAGCCAAACAUUAUUGAUUCUCUGUGUCCUGUAAAUAUGUAAAUAUGAGUAGCAACAAACAAUAAUAAACUGAGUUCAGACAAUAAA